rnacentral:rRNA from 1 species
CGGCGGACGGGUGAGUAACACGUGGAUAACCUACCUAUAAGACUGGGAUAACUUCGGGAAACCGGAGCUAAUACCGGAUAAUAUAUUGAACCGCAUGGUUCAAUAGUGAAAGACGGUUUUGCUGUCACUUAUAGAUGGAUCCGCGCCGCAUUAGCUAGUUGGUAAGGUAACGGCUUACCAAGGCGACGAUGCGUAGCCGGCCUGAGAGGGUGAUCGGCCACACUGGAACUGAGACACGGUCCAG